rnacentral:rRNA from 1 species
AGCUAAUAGAUACCCUGGUAGUCCUGGCAGUAAACGGUGCGCGUUUGGUGUGGGAGGAUUCGACCCCUUCUGUGCCGGAGCUAAACGCGUUAAACGCGCCGCCUGGGGAGUACGGUCGCAAGAUUAAAACUCAAAGAAAUUGACGGGGGCCCGCACAAGCGGUGGAGUAUGUGGCUUAAUUCGAUGCAACGCGAAGAACCUUACCUAGCCUUGACAUGCAUCUCUAAGUCGGUGAAAGCCGGCGACUAUAGCAAUAUAGAAUUUGUCACAGGUGCUGCAUGGCUGUCGUCAGCUCGUGUCGUGAGAUG